rnacentral:rRNA from 1 species
UCAAGAUGCUAAGGGCCCACGGUGGAUGCCUUGGCACCCGAGCCGAUGAAGGACGUGGCUACCUGCGAUAAGCCAGGGGGAGCUGGUAGCGAGUGUAGAUCCCUGGAUGUCCGAAUGGGGAAACCCGGCCUGUGGGAACACAGGUCACCGCCUUUGUGCGGGGGGAACCUGGGGAACUGAAACAUCUCAGUACCCAGAGGAGAGGAAAGCGAAAGCGACUCCCUGAGUAGCGGCGAGCGAAAAGGGACUAGCCUAAACCGUUCGGCUUGUCCGGGCGGGGUUGGGGGGCCCUCAGAUGCCGAAUCCCUAGCCUAGCCGAAGCUGCCUGGGAAGCAGCGCCAGAGAGGGUGAAAGCCCCGUAGGCGAAAGGUGAGGGGAUAGGUGAGGGUACCCGAGUACCCUGUGGUUCGUGGAGCCAUGGGGGAAUCUGGGCGGACCACCGCCUAAGGCUAAGUACUCCGGGUGACCGAUAGUGAACCAGUACCGUGAGGGAAAGGUGAAAAGAACCCCGGGAGGGGAGUGAAAUAGAACCUGAAACCGUGGGCUUACAAGCAGUCGCGGCCCCUUUGGGGGUUGCGGCGUGCCUAUUGAAGCAUGAGCCGGCGACUCACGGUCGUGGGCGAGCUUAAGCCGUAAGGCGGAGGCGUAGGGAAACCGAGUCCGAAGAGGGCGCAGGCGGGCCGCGUGCGGCCCGCGAAGUCCGCGGCCGUGGACCCGAAACCGGGUGAGCUAGUCCUGGCCAGGGUGAAGCUGGGGUGAAACCCAGUGGAGGCCCGAACCGGUGGGGGAUGCAAACCCCUCGGAUGAGCUGGGAUUAGGAGUGAAAAGCUAACCGAACCCGGAGAUAGCUGGUUCUCCCCGAAAUGACUUUAGGGUCAGCCUCAGGUGCUGACUGGGGCCUGUAGAGCACUGAUAGGGCUAGGGGGCCCACCAGCCUACCAAACCCUGUCAAACUCCGAAGGGUCCCAGGUGGAGCCUGGGAGUGAGGGCGCGAGCGAUAACGUCCGCGUCCAAGCGCGGGAACAACCGAGACCGCCAGUUAAGGUCCCCAAGUCUGGGCUAAGUGGGAAAGGAUGUGGUGCCGCGAAGACAGCCAGGAGGUUGGCUUAGAAGCAGCCAUCCUUUAAAGAGUGCGUAAUAGCUCACUGGUCGAGUGGCGCCGCGCCGAAAAUGAUCGGGGCUUAAGCCCAGCGCCGAAGCUGCGGGUCUAGGGCGCGAGCCCUAGGCGGUAGGGGAGCUUUCCCGAUGCCGAUGAAGGUCGCUCGUGAGGGCGGCUGGAGGUAAGGGAAGUGCGAAUGCCGGCAUGAGUAACGAUAAACAGGGUGAGAAUCCCUGUCGCCGUAAGCCCAAGGGUUCCUACGCCAUGGUCGUCAGCGUAGGGUUAGGCGGGGCCUAAGGUGAGGCCGAAAGGCGUAGCCGAUGGACAGCCGGUUAAUAUUCCGGCCCUUCCCGUGGGUGCGAUGGGGGGACGCUCUAGGCUAGGGGGACCGGAGCCAUGGACGAGCCCGGCCAGAAGCGCAGGGUGGGAGGUAGGCAAAUCCGCCUCCCGUGGGCUCUGCGUGGUGGGGAAGCCCGUGAGGGUGACAACCCCCCGAAGCCAGGGAGCCGAGAAAAGCCUCUAAGCACAACCCACGGGAACCCGUACCGCAAACCGACACAGGUGGGCGAGUGCGAGAGCACUAAGGCGCGCGGGAUAACCCUCGCCAAGGAACUCUGCAAGUUGGCCCCGUAACUUCGGGAGAAGGGGUGCUCUCUGCGGCGCCGCGUGCGGCGCCGUGGCGAGCCGCAGUGAAUAGGCUCUGGCGACUGUUUACCAAAAACACAGCUCUCUGCGAACUCGUAAGAGGAGGUAUAGGGAGCGACGCUUGCCCGGUGCCGGAAGGUCAAGGGGAGGGGUGCAAGCCCUGAACCGAAGCCCCGGUGAACGGCGGCCGUAACUAUAAGGUAGCGAAAUUCCUUGUCGGGUAAGUUCCGACCUGCACGAAAAGCGUAACGACCGGAGCGCUGUCUCGGCGAGGGACCCGGUGAAAUUGAACUGGCCGUGAAGAUGCGGCCUACCCGUGGCAGGACGAAAAGACCCCGUGGAGCUUUACUGCAGCCUGGUGUUGGCUCUUGGUCGCACCUGCGUAGGAUAGGUGGGAGCCUGUGAAGCCGCCCUUUCGGGGGCGGUGGAGGCGCCGGUGAAAUACCACCCUGGUGCGACUGGGGGCCUAACCCCUAGCGGGGGACAGCGCUUGGCGGGCAGUUUGACUGGG